ACACGAUCAACUCUAGUUAGAGUUGGCAUUGACCUCAUGUGCUGUAAGUGCAUUUGGUUUGAAUGGAUCAAGUUGAUGGGCUCCCCAGCGAUGCUCAAUGUGUGCUAGCGAGACAGUCGUCCCGAUCUCACAUUAGUGGUUUUGUUGCAGAGCUCUAAUCACGGCUUGUUUAAAUUUCUAUCUA
rnacentral:misc_RNA from 1 species